CAGCUUGUUGGUGGGGUGAUGGCCUACCAAGGCGACGACGGGUAGCCGGCCUGAGAGGGCGACCGGCCACACUGGGACUGAGACACGGCCCAGACUCCUACGGGAGGCAGCAGUGGGGAAUAUUGCACAAUGGGCGCAAGCCUGAUGCAGCGACGCCGCGUGAGGGAUGACGGCCUUCGGGUUGUAAACCUCUUUCAGCAGGGAAGAAGCGCAAGUGACGGUACCUGCAGAAGAAGCGCCGGCUAACUACGUGCCAGCAGCCGCGGUAAUACGUAGGGCGCAAGCGUUGUCCGGAAUUAUUGGGCGUAAAGAGCUCGUAGGCGGUUUGUCGCGUCUGCUGUGAAAUCCUCAGGCUCAACCUGGGGCUUGCAGUGGGUACGGGCAGACUAGAGUGCGGUAGGGGUGACUGGAAUUCCUGGUGUAGCGGUGGAAUGCGCAGAUAUCAGGAGGAACACCGAUGGCGAAGGCAGGUCACUGGGCCGCAACUGACGCUGAGGAGCGAAAGCAUGGGGAGCGAACAGGAUUAGAUACCCUGGUAGUCCAUGCCGU
rnacentral:rRNA from 1 species